rnacentral:rRNA from 1 species
UACGUAGGUGGCAAGCGUUGUCCGGAAUUAUUGGGCGUAAAGCGCGCGCAGGCGGUCCUUUAAGUCUGAUGUGAAAGCCCACGGCUCAACCGUGGAGGGUCAUUGGAAACUGGGGGACUUGAGUGCAGAAGAGGAAAGCGGAAUUCCACGUGUAGCGGAUGAAAUGCGUAGAGAUGUGGAGGAACACCAGUGGCGAAGGCGGCUUUCUGGUCUGAUAACUGACGCUGAGGCGCGAAAGCGUGGGGAGCAAACAGGA